rnacentral:rRNA from 1 species
GCAAGUCGAGCGCGAACGCUCCUUCGGGAGUUAUUAGAGCGGCGGACGGGCGAGUAACGCGUGGGAAUAUGCCCUUCUCUAAGGAAUAGCCUCUGGAAACGGAGAGUAAUACCUUAUACGCCCUUUGGGGGAAAGAUUUAUCGGAGAAGGAUUAGCCCGCGUUAGAUUAGGUAGUUGGUGGGGUAAUGGCCUACCAAGCCUACGAUCUAUAGCUGGUUUGAGAGGAUGAUC